UUGACCUCGGAUCAGGUAGGAAUACCCGCUGAACUUAAGCUUAAAGCAGAA
rnacentral:rRNA from 1 species